CUCCUCCCCUCCUUGCUCACCCUUCCAGAAGCCUUCUGGGCUGAUCAAUGAAGAGCUGGCAGUCCUCCCAUUAUCGCCUCUCUCUGACGUCUGUCUCAUUCCCUGCAUCACACAUCUUUGGCACGUGUUUGGUUUCAGCCACAGUUGUGGUGGACAAUCCCGUGUCAACCUCAUGCCGCCUCAAGGUGGCUGCUUUCUGCCCCAGGAGCCUCUCCAACAUCUCAGGAGCCUGUUUGGUCCAGCACACAGCCGGGAAGUGCAGGAGGCCACCUUCAGUCAGUGGGAGAUGGGACCCUGUGGAAAGAUGCUCCAGCCUCCUGUCCUUUGGAUGGACCACUCUGGGAAGCAGCCUGUACACUUCUCAGGACAUCCUGCCUACAGCGGCAACCUUGAUAUUUACCAAGGGUCUGCUGAGUGCUGAGGAGUGUACCACGGACUAGAAUGACAAGGAAGAAAGACCUCAGUAAUGCCUUAUAUGGGGUGGUAGGUGAGGCCUGGGGGAGCUUGGAAAGGAAUCAGCAAUGAAAACUCAUGCCACAAAUGCUGAAAAUGGGGUGCGUAAACCGAGGAUUCUCAAGGGGUAGAGAUCUGCUCAAGAUGACAUAGCUCGUAAGUGGCACGGUGGGGAUUUGAUUUGGAGUCCUGUGGCCCCAAAGCAGAGGCUCUCAACCCCGGCCAUUCG
rnacentral:lncRNA from 1 species